CCCUGUGUCCUUGCUGAGCGAUCCUUAAUCUCUCACAUCUUUAAUCAAGGUAUUUUCUUUUGGACUGCUGGAAACGUUUUUCUCAUGUGGAUUAAUUAGAAAUAACGCCUAGCUCUGACAACUGGAUCUGCUGUGAGCUCCAGUCAGGGCACAGGCAGUCCUCUAAGCCAUUCUUCAUGACACUGCUCUUGCUUCUUACUUACUUUUGAACCCUAUUGUUUGGGAGCUGUAGAUUGUGGUCAGUCGUUCUCAGUGGAGUUACAGGCAGAAUUAGUGCAGCUGCGAGAGCAAAGCUAUGUGUGAAACCCCACCUCAUGCUGCUGAAAGCACUGGCCUGAUUCCAAAUGCCCUCGGGCAGCCCCUUUUGUUUCAGGAUUUGCACCUCUGCUCAGCAGGGCUUCCGGCCUUAAAACCUGGUAGUUCGGUUAUUUGGAGUCAUGGUAAUGCUUUCUGCCAUUUGCUCCCUUUCUGUUAGCAGCAGCUGAAUGGCUUGGUCUUUGCAAGGUGUGAAACUAUUGUCUGAAGUCAGUAAAUCAACAUUGGCUAGUUAAUGGCUUUGUUCUGAUCUUCCUCGGGGUGUCUGUUUUAGUUUGAUAAGCCUGUGGGAUCUGCAGAAUUAGGAUGAUCUCUUGGAGCAUAUUCACCCUUGUGUGGAUGACUUCAGAAAAGAAGCCCACGUGUUGGAUAGUCAAAAGAUCAGGCAAAUAUUUCACUCGGUUUGCAACAAAAUAUUAUGAGAAUGUUCUCAGUGGAAUUUAAGCCUUUUUGUGUUGAUUUAAAGGUUUGAAACUACCGGGCUAUGUUUUUCAUGCUGUAUCUCACCCUGUGGCUUGCUGUUUGACCUCUGGAACCUGCAAGAUGAGUUGCAUCACUGUCACUGAAUAACUGCUGUUCCUUGAACUGAAUACAUUAGCACAAUAAAUGUGAUUGCUGGGUA